rnacentral:rRNA from 1 species
UCAAAAACAUGUCUUUAUGNAUAUAAUAUAUAAAGUCUGACCUGCCCAAUGAUUAUAUAAAUGGCCGCAGUAUUUUGACUGUGCAAAGGUAGCAUAAUCAAUAGUCUAUUAAUUGUAGUCUGGAAUGAAAGGUUCGACGGAUAAUUUCUUUAUUUUAAAUAAAAUUGAACUUAAAUAAUUAGUAAAAAUGCUAAUGUAUGAUAGAGGGACGAGAAGACCCUAUUAAGUUUUACAUAAUAAGAAAUAUUGAUUUAGUAGGCUUAUGUUCUUAUUGAUGUUUGAUUGGGGCAAUCUUAAACAAUAAAUGUUUAAUAUAUUUACUAUACAUAAGUUAUUGACGAUCCAAUAAUAUUGAUUGUUGGAAUAAAUUACUAUAGGGAUAACAGCGUAAUAUAUCUGGAGAGUUCAUAUUGAUGGAUUAUGUUUGCGACCUCGAUGUUGAAUUAGGAUUCUCUGAAGGCGCAGGAGCUUUAUAUGAGUGGUCUGUUCGACCAUUAAAUUCCUACGUGAUCUGAGUU